CCUGGCGGCGAGUGGCGAACGGGUGAGUAAUAUAUCGGAACGUACCCAAGAGUGGGGGAUAACGUAGCGAAAGUUACGCUAAUACCGCAUACGAUCUAAGGAUGAAAGCAGGGGACCGCAAGGCCUUGUGCUCCUGGAGCGGCCGAUAUCUGAUUAGCUAGUUGGUAGGGUAAAGGCCUACCAAGGCUACGAUCAGUAGCUGGUCUGAGAGGACGACCAGCCACACUGGAACUGAGACACGGUCCAGACUCCUACGGGAGGCGGCAGUGGGGAAUUUUGGACAAUGGGCGCAAGCCUGAUCCAGCAAUGCCGCGUGAGUGAAGAAGGCCUUCGGGUUGUAAAGCUCUUUUGUCAGGGAAGAAACGGUGAGGGCUAAUACCUUUCACUAAUGACGGUACCUGAAGAAUAAGCACCGGCUAACUACGUGCCAGCAGCCGCGGUAAUACGUAGGGUGCAAGCGUUAAUCGGAAUUACUGGGCGUAAAGCGUGCGCAGGCGGUUUUGUAAGUCUGUCGUGAAAUCCCCGGGCUCAACCUGGGA
rnacentral:rRNA from 1 species